UGACGGCAGGUAUUAUUACUUUUUG
rnacentral:piRNA from 1 species